rnacentral:lncRNA from 1 species
UGUUGACCGGGUUUGACCCGGGUUGACCCGAAACCCGCUGAAAAACUCGAACCAUACUUGACCCGCACCAUAGUGGCCUGAACCCGAAGCUGAAAAAACUGACACAAAGGUGAGCAGGAGGGUGGAAGAUGAGAGUUCGAGUCAAAACUCUUGAACUUUCGGCUGACCUGACCCGAGAACAAACCAUUACCCGAACAUGAACAUCACCUUCAACAUCACAUCAUCUUCCUCACCUAUUGACACAGCAACAUCACCAUCGGACUUCAACCGUCAUCGCCCUCGCCUGAAUCGUCAGCCGCCGCCGCCGCCGUCGGACAGUGGGUAACCAAAGGAACAAUCGCCGCUCUCUCAUCCUCCGAUUCUCUCUCUGAUUCUUGUCGCCUGAAUUCACGUUGCUUCGCCAGAAAAUCCACUGGCAUCGUCACCGGUUCCGGUUGCCAACGGUUCCACUAGAGAGGGGAGGGGGUUUGUUUACUAGUGGGUGUUGUCGGAAAAGGGGUGACCACCGAGGGUCGGGUUUAGUCACCGGAGUGUCAUAAAUUGGCUGGUGAGAGGCCGGUUCAUUCACAGGUGUCCGCCGGAGAGGUGAGCAGGAGGGUAGAAGAUGAGAGGUGAGUGGUGAUAGGGAAGAAGGUGUGAUGUGUGCACCUGAAGUAGGGAUCGAGAGAGAUGGAGGGGUCUGGAGU